AUUGAACGCUGGCGGCAUGCCUUUCACAUGCAAGUCGAACGGUAACGGGCCUUCGGGUGCCGACGAGUGGCGAACGGGUGAGUAAUACAUCGGAACGUGCCCGAUCGUGGGGGAUAACGAGGCGAAAGCUUUGCUAAUACCGCAUACGAUCUACGGAUGAAAGCAGGGGACCGCAAGGCCUUGCGCGGACGGAGCGGCCGAUGGCAGAUUAGGUAGUUGAUGGGAUAAAAGCUUACCAAGCCGACGAUCUGUAGCUGGUCUGAGAGGAUGAUCAGCCACACUGGGACUGAGACACGGCCCAGACUCCUACGGGAGGCAGCAGUGGGGAAUUUUGGACAAUGGGCGCAAGCCUGAUCCAGCCAUGCCGCGUGCAGGAUGAAGGCCUUCGGGUUGUAAACUGCUUUUGUACGGAACGAAAAGCCUUCUUUUAAUACAGGAGGGUCAUGACGGUACCGUAAGAAUAAGCACCGGCUAACUACGUG
rnacentral:rRNA from 1 species